rnacentral:rRNA from 1 species
UGCGUAGGCGGCCGUUUAAGUAGGGUGUGAAAUGCCAGAGCUCAACUUUGGCAUUGCGCUCUAGACUGAAUGGCUUGAGUGAGAUAGGGGUGUGCGGAACUUCCAGUGGAGCGGUGAAAUGUGUUGAUAUUGGAAGGAACGCCGGUGGCGAAAGCGGCACACUGGGUCUUAACUGACGCUGAGGCACCGAAAAGGGCCCAGGGGGAGGCAACGG